rnacentral:tRNA from 1 species
GAGGGUGUAGCUCAGUGGUAGAGCACAUGCCUAGCAUACACGAGGCCCUGGGUUCAACCCCCAGGACCGCCA